UAAAAGUUAGGUAUAUAAAAAAAACGAAAUUUGACAAAGCGUGUACACUAACACUGUUACUUGAUUUAACUGAUUUACACCAAUUUAGAUAGAAACUCUUAAAUUGGAUUCAAAGAAAAUCUUCUCGAAUUAUUAUGUAAAUUUCAUAGAUUUUGCACUCGUAAGAGUCUUUUACUAAUUGAACAGUGAUUAAGCAGCAAUGUAUGUAAUUAUUGUGUAGAGCAAAAACAAAAAAGGAUUAAGUUGGAUAUAACCUGUUAAGCAGCUUCUCCGCAACCUCAGUCUCUUUCGCCUGAUGCAUAGCCUUCAAGACAAGAUUAUACGACGCCGUAUUAGGGGCCACGGAGAAAUCAUCCAUCAUCGCAACGAGAUCGAGCAUGUCACUAGGUGCAGCGCCCAUCAUCAAAUUAGCCCUAAGGUAAUGGUUGUAAAGGUUGACAUCCGGCUUGUUCGGCUUCCCGUUCUUGUCGAGCGACCGGACCCAGAACUCGAAUAGCUGCUUCAUGUCGGACCAGCGCUGCGACGCGGUCCAGUCGGCGAACAUGUUGAGCAGCGAGAUCAUGUCGAGGGUCUCGGAGAGGGCUCUGAUGCGGGCGGCGGGGGCUUGGUUUAGGAAUCCCAUGGGGACUAGUGAUUGGCUGAAGGAGGGCGAGUUCGGGAUCGGGCUCCGCCAGUUCUCCUGGUAGAGAGGGCUUCCUGUUGCUGGAUUUGGAGGGAGCGUGGUGGAUUCGUGAUCGGUUGCGAGCUGGGGAUCUUGAUAGAGGGACGGCGUACCGGAAAUGGUUCUGAUGUGGUGAUUGGGUUUGAGGGUUCGGAGGAGAGAGAUCCGAGACCGGAGGAAGAGAUGAGAAGACAUUGUCGGAAGGGGAUCUAGUUUGGAGUUGGAGUUUGGUCAAAAGGGGUUUAUCUUGUUUUAGGGUUUUCAGAGUUUCAGAUUGAGUUCGGUCGUGACGAUCUCUUCCCCCCCGUGGGCAGUGGUAUUUUCAGAAAUUAUUCGACAACUGAUGUCAUUUUCAGGAGUCUUAGAAACGGGUUUAGACCCAGCCCGGCCCAUUAUGGUAUGGCUAAAUUAGUUUUAUACUGAAGCUCCAAUAAUAUUUUAAUUGCUGCAUGCGAUCUAAAUUAUAAAUAUUAAAAUAUUUUGAGCUAAACUACAUGCUUUUAUAGGUAUUUAAAAUUAUAUGUGUAUGUACUGAUCACUAAUUUAAUAACCAUUAUAAGUUUUCAAUUCACCCAAAACAAUUAUCCAUUAAAAAAUAUGAUUUUUAUACUUUCAAUGUGAAUGAUCAAUUGUAAAUGAGUAAUUUUCUUAAUAGUUGUGAUGGAAUAUAGAAAAAUAUUAUACAAUAUUUAUAUUAAAAUAAUUAAUGCAACAUUUAUAAGAAAAUAAUAUCACAAAAAUUUCAUAUUUGUUUUUGAAUUUUUUUUAGAAAAUGCCAAUAUAUUAGUAUGAUUAAUAAAACAACCACUUACCAUCUAUCCAUUGAUUACAAAAUAGCUAUAAUAGGUUAUAUAUAAUAAUUUUAUAACAUUUUUUUUAAAACUAAACAUGAUUAGUUAGAUUUAAUAAUUUCAAAUUCAUAUAUAUGAUUGUUUGAACUAUAAAAUUUUUAAUCACUAGUAAUUUGUUUUUCAGUUAUACUAUUGUUUGCUCUAUAAAACUUUAAAUCAUCAAUUUUUGUAUUAAGUGUAACUUUUGUGCAUAGUACAUUACGAAGUAGAAGUUAUAUGCUAGUUUUUUUUUAUUUGUUUGGUGAAUUUAUUAUCCUAAAUUAUACUUAAAUGAGAUUUUCAAUGAUAAACAUAAUUUAGUGGACGUCUUCUGAAGCUUCCACCAUAUCGGAAAUAUAUUUGAUGCACACAUCAAAAAUGAAACUCCUCCAUGAAAAAUGUUUCACAUAAUUUUAAACUAUCCACAAUCCUAAGUAUAAAAUGAUAUGUGCAUCUAAAAUUGUGGAUAUGAAGACAAGGAUAUUUGAUGCUUUUAAUGAUUUUAGAUCAUUUUAUUUACUUUUAUCUUUAAUACUUUCCGAGAAAACGCAAUUAAAAAGUUAAUUGAGGAAACACAAUUGUUAGGUUAAUUGAGAAAAGGUAAAUUGAUGAAUAAUCAGAAAAUGAAAAACAUUUUUACCUAAAUUCUUAUCUUCCUACUAUACAACGAGUUACAUCAACGAGUUUCAAACAAGUUGAUGAAACUCUAGCCUGACAAAGAAGAUUUUCUAUUGGUGUACUUACGUAUAACGUCUUGGAGGUAGAUUCGGGUCAUAGGAACAAAUCUUUGAUCAUGUCUCUUCAAAGCAUUCUCUAUGCUUUCUCUGGAAUAUUUGAGAGGAUAACCAGCAAUGGCAUUCUCUUUAUCCCUAAGAGCAAUGACAUCAAUAACAAAGAAAAUAACAAAAUGAAAAUUUAAAUGUAAGAAAUAACAUUUCUAAAUUGCCUUAAAAUAACAAAAGCAUUGCAAGUUGUUCUGAUAAAAUGAAAAUUUGAAAGUAAGAUUUAAAGAGGUUUACCAAAAGGAAGAUAUUAACUGUUUAAUAUAGUUCUUAUGUUCAAUUAAACUAUUUGUUGCAUGUAUGAUUUUGUUUAUGGAAAAAUUGUUAAAUUACUAAUUAAAUUUAAAUUCUCAUCGGCAAAAGGGAAACAUCUCGUUGUCUGAUCCUAUUUCAUUUAAUUUCGAGAGACACCACACUUAAUUUCAAAUGGUGCUUUGACUUGGCUUAUAAAACAUCACUAAUGCUCAGCCAUUACAACUUAGCACAAUUCAAUAAUGGACUACAACGGGCAUAAUAUUGAUUUGAGAGAGAGAGAGAGAGAGAGAAAGAAACCUUGGAGAGAGAAGAAGCGGAGGAUGGUAAGGCUUUACAGGGAGAGUGUACAGACAUAUCGUCCUGCUCUUCCUCUUUCUCUUUCUCUUUCUCUUUAUCUCCACCAACUUCGUCAUUUCUUCCACCCAUCUUUGUGUUCCCUUCCCUCUCUUCAAUCAGUUUAGGGUUUCGUGUCGUGUCGUGUCUUUGAUCCCAGAAGAAAUGAGAUGAAAUGUUCUCUGAAUCUGUGAGACAGAAGCCUCUCAAGAAUCCACCUGGACUCCGAAUUGGGCCGACCAAUUCUCAAGGCCCUGUCUCCGGUUUAGCACACCAGUAUACAAUUACAUUAUUCAAGAGUUACAAGAUCAAAAAGCGCAGGAGUGAAUUACUGUAUUGUGGAUAACUUUAGUAAUUAAAAAAAAAAACAUAACAUCAUGUGCAUGAGACUAUUUGAACACCAAAAAACAAAGGCUUUUAUGAAGAUAAAAAAAGAUACGAAUCUUCCAAAAAGUUUUGCCAUUUAUUGGUCAAUGCUGCAUGAAAACAUCUGCAAGAGAGACUAGUGAACCACUGAUCCUAAAACAACGAGCUAUGUAAUGGAAAAACAAAUCAGAUUUGAGGACUCGAAACGAUUAUAAAUGAAGCAACUGACAGCAAUGAAACACGGAGCAACGGUCCAUAGCUUCAAAGAUUCGAUGAGCCUGAGAUUCUCAUACCUCCCUCCUUCCUCAACAAGAGCUUCUGCAACAACCAAACACAUUUGAUGAGAUGGUCACAAUUUGAUGAUUCCUCUGUAACAAUAAAAACUGAGGAUUCAUUAUUACAUUUAGCCCUUCAUUAUGCGCGAACCCUGGAGUAAUCCAUGUUGAACAGCAUGUUCCUCCGGUUCUCUGAUCCCAUCCUUAUUUGAAACUUCUUGGCCAAAGACUCCACCUUAUCAUCGUUUUCGUUGUCUAGCUCCCUGAUACAUCGCCUUCUCAGCUUCUUCAGUGUCUCCUUGGAAGGUUCAAAUCCAGCUUUGAUCUGUUAUUUCCGAAAAGCAUGUUUUAGUUUCUCAUAGCCAUGUUAAACAACACACAUCCUUCUCUCAUAGCGGUUCUGGUUUUACCAUGUCAUCGAUGACCGUCAGAGCUGAUUCGGGAUCCCGGUUAAUGAGAUGAGCAUCAACCAGCAAUGAAAACGUCCGGGCAUCAGGCUUAACACCUUCCCCAACUAGAUGACUGUAUACUCUUGUAGCCUCAGGAGUCUGCAAAAGCAAACAAGCUCAGAGUCUUUAAGCCUCGUCGGAAAUAAGAAAAAAUUAAAGAGAAAGAGAGUGAUAUGACAUGGAGACAUCACCUACCUUCUUGACCUUUCCAAAUGCAUAUAUUAAAGCAUUGUACGAAUCAAUAUUAGGAGUCAGCCCAAAAGAAGCACUUAUUGCAUCAAACGUCUGGUAAGCACGAUCCAGAUCCCAUGUGUUUGCGCAGCCAAGAACUAUACAGUUUAGAGCAGCAACGGACUUGUACGGAGUAUCACCUUUACUCAAUGUCUCCAGCUGGAAGUAUACCUCAUCCAAUGUCUCAAAACCUUUCUUAGAACAGGCCACAACCAGCGGGUACAACGAUGUAAAAGGAGAAAGCAUUUCCUCCUUAACUUCCUUUUCAGCGUCCUUGUAUGCGUUUUCAAACUCAUUAAGUGCGACGAAAGCUUUCUGCAGGUUCCCCAACGAUGCGUAAGCAUUUAUCUUCGCAACAUAAGCCGCAGGGUUGGCUGCCUUCUUCCCACGCAGGCUCCGUUUCAGAAUCAUCCACGAUCCAUCUAUUAAAGUCGGAUUGCACGUCCUAGCAGCGGUUGCGAGAGCUGACACCACCAAACCUUCAUCAACAGAGAGUAAAACCGAGGGCCUAGCCAUUUCUCCUCUGUUGAUCCAAUUGUACAUGAACUCAAACGCGUAGAAUGCUAAUUUGCUAUUGUCCUCUUGAGUUGCUACUUCAGCCAUGUAUGUACAGAGUAUCCAGCUAGGGCAUAGGGACUUGUUCCGAUCAAGAGACUGUAAAACAAAACAAAAUGAGGCAAAAUGCUUUUUAAAUAUCAUCAAACUAAGACGUACCUUACACCUCUCGAUGAUGGAGACCAGUGUAUCUGUCCUACCUUUGGCUACACAGCUACGCACACAUUCGCUAAAAACAGUGGUGGACAACAUGUAACCAGAUUUUAGUGCGAUGUCCAGAAGCUGCAUGGCUUUGUCAUUCUCCCCAUUAGAAUACAGCAUUCCAAUAACCAAAUCAUAUGAUUCAUCAUCCGGACGAGAUUCAUCCUUCCCUGAUAUCAGCAUCCUGAUGGUACAUAAAAAAAAAAAACAAUAUAUUUCAAGAAAUGGCUAGGCGGUUACUAAACGAUUUAAAUUUAUAUAAGCCUAGCUUCUAAACGGAUUAUUCAUGGCAUAGGCAGGAACUAAACAUUAAUGAAUUACUUUUUAUUUAUUUUAUACUAGAUUUUUUUUUUAUAACUUUUUAGGUUUAAUUAUAUAACUAAUUUGAUGAGUUGUAAAAGUUAGGUAUAUAAAAAAAACGAAAUUUGACAAAGCGUGUACACUAACACUGUUACUUGAUUUAACUGAUUUACACCAAUUUAGAUAGAAACUCUUAAAUUGGAUUCAAAGAAAAUCUUCUCGAAUUAUUAUGUAAAUUUCAUAGAUUUUGCACUCGUAAGAGUCUUUUACUAAUUGAACAGUGAUUAAGCAGCAAUGUAUGUAAUUAUUGUGUAGAGCAAAAACAAAAAAGGAUUAAGUUGGAUAUAACCUGUUAAGCAGCUUCUCCGCAACCUCAGUCUCUUUCGCCUGAUGCAUAGCCUUCAAGACAAGAUUAUACGACGCCGUAUUAGGGGCCACGGAGAAAUCAUCCAUCAUCGCAACGAGAUCGAGCAUGUCACUAGGUGCAGCGCCCAUCAUCAAAUUAGCCCUAAGGUAAUGGUUGUAAAGGUUGACAUCCGGCUUGUUCGGCUUCCCGUUCUUGUCGAGCGACCGGACCCAGAACUCGAAUAGCUGCUUCAUGUCGGACCAGCGCUGCGACGCGGUCCAGUCGGCGAACAUGUUGAGCAGCGAGAUCAUGUCGAGGGUCUCGGAGAGGGCUCUGAUGCGGGCGGCGGGGGCUUGGUUUAGGAAUCCCAUGGGGACUAGU
rnacentral:lncRNA from 1 species